rnacentral:rRNA from 1 species
AACGAACGCUGGCGGCAGGCUUAACACAUGCAAGUCGAGCGAGACCUUCGGGUCUAGCGGCGGACGGGUGAGUAACGCGUGGGAACGUGCCCUUCUCUACGGAGUAGCCCCGGGAAACUGGGAGUAAUACCGUAUACGCCCUUUGGGGGAAAGAUUUAUCGGAGAAGGAUCGGCCCGCGUUGGAUUAGGUAGUUGGUGGGGUAAUGGCCCACCAAGCCGACGAUCCAUAGCUGGUUUGAGAGGAUGAUCAGCCACACUGGGACUGAGACACGGCCCAGACUCCUACGGGAGGCAGCAGUGGGGAAUCUUAGACAAUGGGGGCAACCCUGAUCUAGCCAUGCCGCGUGAGUGAUGAAGGCCUUAGGGUUGUAAAGCUCUUUCAGCUGGGAAGAUAAUGACGGUACCAGCAGAAGAAGCCCCGGCUAACUCCGUGCCAGCCGCCGCAGUAACAC